GGCGCACGGGUGCGUAACGCGUGGGAAUCUGCCCUCUGGUACGGAAUAACUCAGGGAAACUUGAGCUAAUACCGUAUAAUGACUUCGGUCCAAAGAUUUAUCGCCUGAGGAUGAGCCCGCGUAGGAUUAGCUAGUUGGUGAGGUAAAGGCUCACCAAGGCGACGAUCCUUAGCUGGUCUGAGAGGAUGAUCAGCCACACUGGGACUGAGACACGGCCCAGACUCCUACGGGAGGCAGCAGUGGGGAAUAUUGGACAAUGGGCGAAAGCCUGAUCCAGCAAUGCCGCGUGAGUGAUGAAGGCCUUAGGGUUGUAAAGCUCUUUUACCCGGGAUGAUAAUGACAGUACCGGGAGAAUAAGCCCCGGCUAACUCCGUGCCAGCCGCCGCGG
rnacentral:rRNA from 1 species